rnacentral:rRNA from 1 species
UGGGGAAUAUUGGACAAUGGGCGAAAGCCUGAUCCAGCCAUGCCGCGUGUGUGAAGAAGGUCUUCGGAUUGUAAAGCACUUUAAGUUGGGAGGAAGGGUUGUAGAUUAAUACUCUGCAAUUUUGACGUUACCGACAGAAUAAGCACCGGCUAACUCUGUGCCAGCAGCCGCGGUAAUACAGAGGGUGCAAGCGUUAAUCGGAAUUACUGGGCGUAAAGCGCGCGUAGGUGGUCAGUUAAGUUGGAUGUGAAAUCCCCGGGCUCAACCUGGGAACUGCAUUCAAAACUGACUGACUAGAGUAUGGUAGAGGGUGGUGGAAUUUCCUGUGUAGCGGUGAAAUGCGUAGAUAUAGGAAGGAACACCAGUGGCGAAGGCGACCACCUGGACUGAUACUGACGCUGAGGUGCGAAAGCGUGGGGAGCAAACA